rnacentral:tRNA from 1 species
GGGCGCAUAGCUCAGUUGGUUAGAGUGCCACGUUGACAUCGUGGAGGUCCGUGGUUCAAAUCCACGUGCGCCCACCA